rnacentral:rRNA from 1 species
GAUGAACGCUGGCGGCGUGCCUAAUACAUGCAAGUCGAGCGAACAGAUGAGGAGCUUGCUCCUCUGACGUUAGCGGCGGACGGGUGAGUAACACGUGGAUAACCUACUUAUAAGACUGGGAUAACUUCGGGAAACCGGAGCUAAUACUGGAUAAUAUAUUGAACCGCAUGGUUCAAUAGUGAAAGACGGUUUUGCUGUCACUUAUAGAUGGAUCCGCGCCGCAUUAGCUAGUUGGUAAGGUAACGGCUUACCAAGGCGACGAUGCGUAGCCGACCUGAGAGGGUGAUCGGCCACACUGGAACUGAGACACGGUCCAGACUCCUACGGGAGGCAGCAGUAGGGAAUAUUCCGCAAUGGGCGAAAGCCUGACGGAGCAACGCCGCGUGAGUGAUGAAGGUCUUCGGAUCGUAAAACUCUGUUAUUAGGGAAGAACAAAUGUGUAAGUAACUAUGCACGUCUUGACGGUACCUAAUCAGAAAGCCACGGCUAACUACGUG